UACAGAGGUCUCAAGCGUUGUUCGGAUUCAUUGGGCGUAAAGGGUGCGUAGGCGGCGCGGUAAGUCGGGUGUGAAAUCUCGGGGCUUAACUCCGAAACUGCAUUCGAUACUGCGCGGCUAGAGUGCUGGAGGGGAGACUGGAAUUCCUGGUGUAGCGGUGAAAUGCGCAGAUAUCAGGAGGAACACCGAUGGCGAAGGCAGUUCUCUGGGCCGUAACUGACGCUGAGGAGCGAAAGCGUGGGGAGCGAACAGG
rnacentral:rRNA from 1 species